rnacentral:misc_RNA from 1 species
UCUCCGUUGGUGAACCAGCGGAGGGAUCAUUACAGGACUCGCAAGACUCCUUCACCCUGUGAACCUCACUACAAGCGCGUUGCUUCGGCGGGUGUCCCGGCGGGGGUUUUCCCUGGCCGGGGCGCACAGCCCGCCGGCAGCCUACUAUACUCUGUCUCUUUGCGUUGGCAUCUCGAGAAAAAACAAACAAGUCAAAACUUUCAACAACGGAUCUCUUGGUUCUG